UAGAUACCCGGGUAGUCCACGCCGUAAACGAUGAUCACUAAGUGUGGGGGGUCGAACCUCCGUGCUCAAGCUAACGCGAUAAGUGAUCCGCCUGGGGAGUACGCACGCAAGUGUGAAACUCAAAGGAAUUGACGGGGACCCGCACAAGCGGUGGAGCAUGUGGUUUAAUUCGACGCAACGCGAGGAACCUUACCAGCCCUUGACAUCCUCAGAACUUAGCAGAGAUGCUUUGGUGCCACUUCGGUGGAGCUGGGUGACAGGUGGUGCAUGGCCGCCGUCAGAAGGG
rnacentral:rRNA from 1 species